UUUCUGACAAGGUUUGACCUUAUGAUAUCUAAUGAUUCUGAUGUAGUUUGACUGAUAUGAUGAAUGGUAUUUGUACUCUGUCCUGUAGACUACAAUUUGGACCCAUUAUACCACUAUAACAUAAACAAGAUUACCAAAAAAACCCAGAUUAGCCCUGACAAUGAUUUUAAAGGCUCAGAUCUUGCAUCUUAUUUGUUGUAUAACCAAGGUGAUGGU
rnacentral:lncRNA from 1 species